UACGUAGGUGACAAGCGUUGUCCGGAUUUACUGGGCGUAAAGAGCGCGCAGGCGGUCGAUCAAGUCGGGGGUGAAAGCCCCCGGCUCAACUGGGGAGGGUCAUUCGAUACUGAUCGACUCGAAGGCAGGAGAGGGUAGUGGAAUUCCCGGUGUAGUGGUGAAAUGCGUAGAUAUCGGGAGGAACACCAGUGGCGAAGGCGACUACCUGGCCUGUUCUUGACGCGGAGGCGCGAAAGCUAGGGGAGCAAACGGG
rnacentral:rRNA from 1 species